AUGGAUCGGCCAGCCCAGAAGAGGAGAUGAAGCUGAAACCUCCCAGGAAGAUUCUGUUGACACUUGGUCUCCCAGAAUCUGCAUUGGAGUUUGGUAUUUCAAAGUGCACACAGUAGGUACACAAUUGUACUGAAUCUUUAGAGGGAUGAGAAGGCAGAAUCAUCUUUCUCCAACAUGCUGAGAAAAGGAUGGCACAACGACAUAAUGAGGAAAUUCCAGGAUCAUCCUCAAUCACUUGCUCUUUAUGCUGAUUACUUCACAGGAGACUAUUUAACCUACCCGCCUGCUUACAAAGCCCCUCCAGGGUUUCACGAUGUAACCCAGGCUGGUCUUGAACUUCAAACAUCCUUACUCAGCCUCCACUGUACUGGGAUUGCACCAAGGGAUUACCGAAAUGGAAGACAUUUUUCGAAGAAUGAUGUUUGACGCUGGGCGUCACCACUGAAACGUCUUAGAACAUCAAAAUCAUUAUUAUGCAAUUUUGAUGAACAAAAACUGUGGGUGUGACUGGCAAAUAAACUC